rnacentral:rRNA from 1 species
CCUACGGGACGCAGCAGUGAGGAAUAUUGGUCAAUGGGCGGAAGCCUGAACCAGCCAAGUAGCGUGCAGGAUGACGGCCCUACGGGUUGUAAACUGCUUUUAUACGGGAAUAACGCGCCUUACGUGUAGGGCUUUGCAUGUACCGUAUGAAUAAGGACCGGCUAAUUCCGUGCCAGCAGCCGCGGUAAUACGGAAGGUCCGGGCGUUAUCCGGAUUUAUUGGGUUUAAAGGGAGCGUAGGCCGCAUGUCAAGCGUGCUGUGAAAUGUCCGGGCUCAACCCCGCCGAGCCGUCGGAACUGGGGGCC